GGACCCCUAUAGAAGAGUUAGGAGAAGGAUUGAAGGAGCUAAAGGGAAUGGCAACCCCAUAAGAAGAACAAAAAAAAAAAAAAAAAAAAAAAAAAAAGUUGCUGUGGUCAUGGUGUCUCUUUAUAGUGACGAAACCUUAAGACAAGGGUGUUAAGUGCCAAGCCGUGCAUAUGGACAAUUUGCAGGAGUCUAGUUGUGUUAGUCCACUAUGUGGAAACUGGGGGUUGAAUUUAGGCUGUCAAGUGCUAGUAGCAAACACCUUUACCCUGAGCCACCUCUUCAAAUGUAAGAUUUAUCCAUUCUCAUUUACUAAUCUGUCCCAAAUGCCUAGACAGAAUCCAGCAUGUGGAGGAAGAAGUUACAGAAGAUAAUACUAUCUAAUUUUUAUAAGCCUCAAAAUUAAGUAAAUUAAUUGGUUAUAUAAAGGAUAGUUUUCCUCUUAUGUUUUUUUUUUCAUGAUACUGGAAUCAGAUCUAGGAUGUUGUGCAUUGUUAGGCUAGCGAAGUAGUCUACCAUUAAUAUCCUUCUCAACUAGAACUAGUAGUCUACCAUUAAUAUCCUUCUCAACUAGAAGACUGUAAAGAUAAGAAUAAAAGCAACCUUAGGAGGAGCAGAAACCUGAGUGGUACAACCUGGCUCGAUGGAGAGCAGUGUCCAUCACUGGGCUCUACUGCUUAGGUUUAGGGAAGUCACUUCAGUGUGCUUAAUGGCUGCCAUCAAAUAUUGUCUAACCAACUAGCCGAGGCAACGACUGUGCAGCGUUGGAAUCUGCUGAUGCUGUGAAAAUCCUAAAAAAUUUGAGCUGUGAAAUAAGGUACGGUUUGAUCAAGGUCAGGUCUAAGAAUAGUAAUUUAAACGAAGAGUAUUAGGUCUCUCUAUAGUGAUUUUGGUAAGAUUAGCUGUGAAACAGGAUGUACUUAUAGUUGUAAGAAAUAAGUUCAAGCUUUAAGAACACAGCAGGAAAAGGAGCAGAGAAAUCAUAGAUCUAGAGUUUGGACAUUGAAGUCAUUGACCUGACAGCAAGUGUUGGGGCAGAAAGAAAAAAAAAAAAAAAAACAACUCACUGACUGUCAAAAUAGCAUAGGAGGGCAGAGUGGCGCAGUGAGAGAGAACAGGGAAGUAAGCGCCCAUCCCACAGCCUCAGGGGAAAUGCAUUCAUAAUGGAAUAAAAGGUCAGCUAUUACCCUUUUCCACUUUAAACCAGUGUCUCUUCUCCUCUGGCCUCUGACUUGCUUUUAUUGAGUCAAGUUGCCAGGGGUGUGUCCUGCCAGGUUUUUUUUUUUUUUUUUUUUUUUUUUUUCUUCUUCAGGAAAGACACUGGGCCUUUAAAUAGGGCCUGGCCUUUAACAUGUGAUUAUAUGAAGCAACCCUGCCUUUGCCUAUGUACCCUCAAGUUACUUAUCUGCUCCUGCCUCAGCUUCUCUAGUAAUGAUACCUCAGUUUGCGUUAACAAGUAGGACACUCCACAUGGUUCGUCUCACUGUGUAAUCUUUAGUUUUGAGAGUCAGCGAUCAUACUUUUACUUACAAUAACUAUCAGUUACUGAGAGGUCCUAAACAGUGUAUUUCAUGUACUAGUUUGUCUAACUUGAUUCUGCAACAGUGCUUUGAGGUUGAUCAUUUUAACCUUUCCACAGGAGACAGAGCCCAAUAGUAGUACAUUUGCCAUGCUAGUAAGUAUCGGAGCUCAUUUUAACUUUUAGUAUCACCUAGUACCCAAAUCCAUCUUCCCCACUGUGGUGCGUGUCACAGAUCCCAGCCAUUGCUUGUGUAUGUAAGCAGUUGAUAAAGUUCCUCUGAACUUAUAUGCCCUCUUAAGUAAUUUACGGGGCGUAUUUUUUUUCCAAAAGAAUAAGUUUUCACCUCAAUUAACUGAGUAUUUUUCACAUUCCUGCUUUAAGAAUACUAUCCACCAAGGAUCUUUCCUUAAUGUCAAGAGUAAGUUCUAUUUUUAAAAUAAUCACUAAAAACAAAGUACACUGACUAUAAAAGCAGAAGCCUUCAUUAGCUUUUAAGGAAAAACAAAACAAGCCUGAAAUAUAUUCCACCUGUAAGGAACUUGUCAUUUAAUUCUAUUGUGUGGGCAAUUCUCUGUGUGUUAUAGGCAUAGCUUGAGUAUCGAGCAUGAAAUGAUCACAAACUAUACACUCAUAUUUUGGAUCAAGGCUUUGAAUUCAUUUUACCCCAAUCUUUCUAUGUGAAAAAGCAGCAGGCUGCGUUAGUCAAACCGCGAACACAAAGAGGAUGGUUUUCCAUCGCGUGCCUAUCCACCAGGUUCUUUUGAUUAGGGUUUACUUUGGCUCUUAAGGCAGAACGCGUUGCAGUCAGGAAAGCAGCUGAAGAAGCCUUUAAGUGUUUUGUUUCAGUAGCGCCCCAGCGUACCCUCUGCGCUGUUUCCUCUCCCGGUCUUUCCCGGUUCACUGCGGGUCAUGUGAUACCGGUCACGUGACUCGGUCAAAGGAUCUUUUCCUCUUACCAGCUUUG
rnacentral:lncRNA from 1 species